CCCAAAUCCACGCCAACUCCUCUCUUCCCUCUCCCUCUCGCGAUCCACCGCACCCCAGCCACCGAUCUCCUCCUCCUCACACGGGCGCCAGCCGCUGAGCCACAAUUGCCUCUCCUUCUCUCUCAAGCCACAGCCGUCGGUGAUCUCUCCUCCUCACGCGAGCAUCUCCUUCUCGCGAUCUCCUCACCAAAACCACCGAGCCAUAGCCACCGGUUUCCUCUUUUCCCUCACGCGAGCACCAGCCAAUCUCCCUCUCGCGAGUUCCCCGCACCCUAGUCGGCCUCUCUUCCUCACUCGAGCUCCACUUCCUCAUAGUUGGGUUGGAAAUCUUCAUCUAGCCACCACAUAUCUAGGUGGGGAAACUUCUUGUUCAUCAUAGGUACAUGUGGAAUCUUCAUCGAGCUUCUACAGAUCAAAUUGAGGUAACAAUCUUAAUCUCACUAAAUGGAUAGGUGGAUUAAUUUGUGCAGUGGUUGCCAAGAACCAGAGAUAGAGUUGGGAAGUUGAUUUGCCCUUUCACAUGCUGAUGGAUCUAGGGCAACAACUACUGCUCUAUUGUUUUGUGGUUGCCUUCGAUCGCUGAUCGUUGGUGUCCUCUGUUGCCUUGCUACCACCGUAGAGCUUCACCUAGCUCCGACCAUAAUUUUUGAUAGUAAGUUCUCCAGCUGAGAGUCCUACAGCGGAGUAUCCAAAUUUAGGACAUUGGUUCGAGACGAACGUCUCGACAUGGGAUUGUUUAGCACAAUCUACAAAUGAAGGCGGACACUUCUUGCUUUAUCUCUUUAGUACAUUGAUCUUAGUGCAUGAGCUAUAUUUUCGGAUAGUUCCUGUUGAUGCUGUCCGGAGAGUUCCAGUCGCUAGUCCCCUACAGUCCACGAGGACGUUUUGUUGGUCUUUUGGUUCUUAUUUAUUAGACUGUGUUUAGACUUAUUCUGCUUUUGACAUCUGGACUUGUAUUAGUUUACUUUAUGGAUAUUGUCUAUGAGUUUUAUUUGGAUUUGUUUUGCUACAUGACUGCUUAGACGGCAGAAGAGGUGAGUUGAUUUUAUCA